rnacentral:misc_RNA from 1 species
GAUGAAGAACGUAGCGAAAUGCGAUAAGUAAUGUGAAUUGCAGAAUUCAGUGAAUCAUCGAAUCUUUGAACGCACCUUGCGCUCCUUGGUAUUCCGAGGAGCAUGCCUGUUUGAGUGUCAUUAAUAUAUCAACCUUCACUUGUUGAAUGGUUUGGAUGUGGGGGUUUGCUGGUCUCUUAAAGGGUUCAGCUCCUCUAAAAUGCAUUAGCAGAACAAUCUGUUCAUUGGUGUGAUAACUAUCUACGCUCUUGAAUAAGAUGCAGUUCAGCUUUCUAACUGUCCUUGGACAAUUUAUCAUUUAUGUGACCUCAAAUCAGGUAGGACUACCCGCUGAACUUAAGCACAUCAAUAAGCGGAGGA